rnacentral:lncRNA from 8 species
GCGGUGGUCGAAUGGUUCAAGCGCUCGGAGGAGACCUGGGACGCCGCCCAUGUGCACCUACAACGGGCCGUGAGGUGGAGUAAUAGACUCAAACACUAUUGUGAAGGUGUCAGGUUUCACAGUAGACCUGUGGGGGAUUGUGUGAGUGUGGAGACCUCUCCCCCAGUCACUCUUCUGAUUUAUUGCCCUGGUUACCUGGAGAGAGCCACAAAAGCCAGUUGUUUUUCUGUAGUUCAAUAGUAAUAUCCUCUAAAACUAUCUGAUGACAAACAAACUUUGCUGCCCUGUUUCCAAUUGUCCACAAGGCUAGGAGAACCUAUUCAAGUAAGUUUUUUGUCCUCAGAUAAAGAGCGCUAUGAAAGCCAGUCUUCAUAUGAAGAGGUCCCAAUGAAGAGCAGUGGUUCUCAGUCCUGGGGACUCAGAGGGGCACAUUUUGGUUUUUGCCUUCACACUGCACAGCUGAUUCAAAUGAUCAACUCAUUAUCAAGCUUCAGAUUGCCUACAGUUAACGUGUAGGGCACUGCAAGGUUGGGUGACCAGGGUCAUCUGGGACUGCCUCCUGGAGCAAUUCAGGUGUGUGAAGGCUA